UGAUGGCGGUUGCGUGCGUGCUCGUACUCGCGUGCCUAGCUAUCUUCCUCGAGGAGCUCGUGUUCUUGCACCAAGUUUACCAUGGGAACGGGGUCAAGGUGCGGAAGGUCGCCACUAUCCUAGGCUUAUAUCCGGUGACGAUUGUUAUGGCGUUAAUGGCCCUGAUGGCACCAAAGAUCAGCUUCCUCCUGGAUCUGUUUGCAUCUUGCUACCUAUCCGUGUGUUUCUUCACGCUGGUGUCGCUAAUCAUUGAUACUUUUGGCAAUG